CACGUAGGGGGCAAGCGUUGUCCGGAUUUAUUGGGCGUAAAGAGCUCGUAGGUGGCUGAGUAAGUCGGAUGUCAAAUACCCAGGCUCAACCUGGGACACCACCCGAUACUGCUCUGGCUAGAGUCCGGUAGGGGAGCAUGGAAUUCCUGGUGUAGCGGUGAAAUGCGCAGAUAUCAGGAGGAACACCAGCGGCGAAGGCGGUGCUCUGGGCCGGAACUGACACUGAGGAGCGAAAGCGUGGGUAGCAAACAGG
rnacentral:rRNA from 1 species